UACGUAGGGCGCAAGCGUUGUCCGGAAUUAUUGGGCGUAAAGAGCUCGUAGGCGGCUUGUCACGUCGGGUGUGAAAGCCCGGGGCUUAACCCCGGGUCUGCAUUCGAUACGGGCUAGCUAGAGUGUGGUAGGGGAGAUCGGAAUUCCUGGUGUAGCGGUGAAAUGCGCAGAUAUCAGGAGGAACACCGGUGGUGUAAACGGCUUUCUGGACCAUAACUGACACUGAGGCACGAAAGCGUGGGUAGCAAACAGG
rnacentral:rRNA from 1 species